rnacentral:rRNA from 1 species
CCUACGGGAGGCAGCAGUAGGGAAUAUUGCUCAAUGGGGGAAACCCUGAAGCAGCAACGCCGCGUGGAGGAUGAAGGUUUUCGGAUUGUAAACUCCUUUUGUUAGAGAAGAUAAGUACGGUAUCUAACGAAUAAUCACCGGCUAACUCCGUGCCAGCAGCGGCGGUAAUACGGAGGGUGCGAGCGUUAUCCGGAUUUAUGGGGUUUAACGGGUGCGUAGGCGGACGCUUAAGUCAGCGGUAAAAUUGCGGGGCUCAACCUAGUCGAGCCGUUGAAACUGGGUGCCUUGAGUGGGCGAGAGGUACGCGGAAUGCGUGGUGUAGCGGUGAAAUGCAUAGAUAUCACGCAGAACUCCGAUUGCGAAGGCAGCGUACCGGAGCCCAACUGACGCUGAAGCACGAAGGCGUGGGUAUCGAACAGGAUUAGAUACCCUAGUAGUC